rnacentral:rRNA from 1 species
UACAGAGGUCUCAAGCGUUGUUCGGAUUCAUUGGGCGUAAAGGGUGCGUAGGCGGCGCGGUAAGUCGGGUGUGAAAUCUUGGAGCUUAACUCUGAAACUGCAUUCGUAUACUGCCGUGCUUGAGGACUGGAGAGGAGACUGGAAUUUACGGUGUAGCGGUGAAAUGCGUAGAUAUCGUAAGGAAGACCAGUGGCGAAGGCGGGUCUCUGGACAGUUCCUGACGCUGAGGCACGAAGGUCAGGGGGAGCAAAACGGGG